UGCCCUUCACAUCACAUUCAUCCCCUUGGUAACAGAAGAAUGAUGCAAUGGUUACCAUAACAUACGUAAAGCAGGCAAGACUAUAUUUACGUUGUUCUCUAAUUCUCGCAAAAAGAAAAAAUCAGUUGGACUACAUAUUUAAUAAUUGUCUGGUUCUCGUAUCGAUCGGGUUCCCACCUAUAAAUAUCUGGGCAUUUGGAUUGACAGACUUAAUGCUUAAAAACAUACAGAUGAGCUAGUUAAAGAGCUCAGAUAUAAAGUGGGCUUCUUUAACAAGAAAAAGAUCUUGCCUCAGGAAGCAGAUUGUACAGUCACCUUUCCUGCCAGGUCUUGGCUAUGGUGACACCAUUUACCAGAAUGCAUCAGCCACUACUCUUAAACCUUUGGAUGCCGUCUACCAUGGCGUCCGUCGCUUUAUCACAGGGGACAGUUUUAAUACUCACUACUGCAUCCUGCUGGUCCUCAUUAAAGCCCAGAAGAUCACCUCAUUUACUCCCCUUUAUUUACAAAGCACUACUACACAAGCUUCUGACGUAACCUAACGUUGCCGUGAAAAUAUUUUUUCAAACGUGAAAGCAAACACGUUCACAAGGUUGCUUAACUUUUGGAGGUUCCUGGGGUCUCCAUCAAACGUUUUAGUUUUAAAGCACCUCGUUGCUGGAACCAACUACACAACACAUUACAAUAGGAUAUUCUGGCACCUUUUUAUUGAGGAAUUUUAUUGUUUUUCUUGAGUAUUUGUGUUGUGCUGUAUUUGACUGGUUUUAUAUUGUAUUAUAUUUUUUGAUAUUUUCUAUGAAAUUGUAGAUGCAGGGCUUGUGAAAGAGACCAUGUACUUAAAUAAAAGUACACAGCACUCAUGUUCCUCUGUAGCAAAAGCUCCAGUCCUCAGAGCCUGAUUGGUGACACACUCCAGCCCCAGCUAACACACCUGACUGCAAUAAUCAACAAAUCAUGGGCUUCAGUUUGGAAUGCAAAUUAGUUUAAUCAGGUGUUCUGGGGCAAAAGUGUAUAACCAAUCAGACCUCCGAAGACGGUAGUGGUCCACACCUAAUCUACAUUCUCCUACCAGACCAGGUAUAGGGGACCAGCCAGACCAGGUAUAGGGGACCAGCCAGACCAGGUAUAGGGGACCAGUCAGACCAGGUAUAGGGGACCAGUCAGACCAGGUAUAGGGGACCAGCCAGACCAGGUAUAGGGGACCAGCCAGACCAGGUAUAGGGGACCAGUCAGACCAGGUAUAGGGGACCAGCCAGACCAGGUAUAGGGGACCAGCCAUAGGGGACCAGCCAGACCAGGUAUAGGGGACCAGUCAGACCAGGUAUAGGGGACCAGUCAGACCAGGUAUAGAGGACCUGGUAUAGGGGACCAGACAGACCAGGUAUAGGGGACCAGUCAGACCAGGUAUGGGGGACCAGUCAGACCAGGUAUGGGGGACCAGUCAGACCAGGUAUGGGGGACCAGUCAGACCAGGUAUGGGGGACCAGUCAGACCAGGUAUAGGGGACCAGUCAGACCAGGUAUGGGGGACCAGUCAGACCAGGUAUGGGGGACCAGUCAGAUCAGGUAUAGGGGACCAGUCAGACCAGGUAUAGGGGACCAGUCAGAUCAGGUAUAGGGGACCAGUCAGACCAGGUAUAGGGGACGAGUCAGACCAGGUAUAGGGGACGAGUCAGACCAGGUAUAGGGGACGAGUCAGACCAGGUAUAGGGGACCAGUCAGACCAGGUAUAGGGGACCAGUCAGACCAGGUAUAGGGGACCAGGUAUAGGGGACCAGCCUGACCAGGUAUAGGGGACCAGUCAGACCAGGUAUAGGGGACCAGUCAGACCAGGUAUGGGGGAACAGUCAGACCAGGUAUGGGGGACCAGUCAGAUCAGGUAUAGGGGACCAGCCAGACCAGGUAUAGGGGAUCAACAGGGGUUCCUUGAGGAGCUCCAGGGGUUCCUUAAUGAGCUCCAGGGGUUCCUUAAUGAGCUCCAGGGGUUCCUUAAUGAGCUCCAGGGGUUCCUUUAGGAUCUGCAGGGGUUCCUUGAGGAUCUGCAGGGGUUCCUUGAUGAGCACCAGGGGUUCCUUGAUGAGCACCAGGGGUUCCUUGAGGAUCAACAGGGGUUCCUUGAGGAUCAACAGGGGUUCCUUGAGGAUCAACAGGGGUUCCUGAACAAUCAGCAGGGGUUCCUUGAGGAUCAGCAGGGGUUCCUUGAGGAUCAGCAGGGGUUCCUUGAGGAUCAGCAGGGGUUCCUUGAGGAUCAGCAGGGGUUCCUUGAGGAUCAACAGGGGUUCCUUGAGGAUCUGCAGGGUUUCCUUGAGGAUCUGCAGGGGUUCCUUGAGGAUCAACAGGGGUUCCUUGAGGAUCAACAAGGGUUCCUUGAGGAUCUGCAGGGGUUCCUUGAGGAUCUGCAGGUUUUUUUUGAGGAUCUCCAGGAGUUCCUUGAGGAUGUCCAAUUGUUCCUUGAAGAUCUCCAGGGUUCCUCAAGUCACCACUAAUUCUAAGAGGGUAUAGUGCACUACUUUUGCCCAGGGCCCAUAGUGCACUACAUACUGCAGGGGAUAGAGUGCCAUUUGGGACACAGACCUUAGACUGUUGUUCAUUACACUAAGUUAACCAAGCUGGUGUCUGUUUAAAGAACUACUACCGAAUGCUAAGUAACGUCACUCUGUAAUGUACACAACAAGAGAUUUGGAUGGUUCACGUCCUGUUCCUGGGACUGUAGUGCUGAUUCUGUGUAUUAAAAUACAACUGUACAUCACAUGAGAAGGUUUACCUCUCCAAUAAUAUGUUACAUAUCCUUGAGUUGAGUCAAAGAAUACAA
ensembl:lncRNA